AGAACGAACGCUGGCGGCAUGCCUAAUACAUGCAAGUCGAACGAAGGCUUCGGCCUUAGUGGCGCACGGGUGCGUAACGCGUGGGAAUCUGCCCCUUGGUUCGGAAUAACAGUUGGAAACGACUGCUAAUACCGGAUGAUGACGAAAGUCCAAAGAUUUAUCGCCAAGGGAUGAGCCCGCGUAGGAUUAGCUAGUUGGUGAGGUAAAGGCUCACCAAGGCGACGAUCCUUAGCUGGUCUGAGAGGAUGAUCAGCCACACUGGGACUGAGACACGGCCCAGACUCCUACGGGAGGCAGCAGUAGGGAAUAUUGGACAAGUGGGCGAAAGCCUGAU
rnacentral:rRNA from 1 species